UAACGCGUGAGGAACCUGCCUCAAAGAGGGGGACAACAGUUGGAAACGACUGCUAAUACCGCAUGAAGCAUAGGGGUCGCAUGAUCUUUAUGCCAAAGAUUUAUCGCUUCAAGAUGGCCUCGCGUCUGAUUAGCUAGUUGGCGGGGUAACGGCCCACCAAGGCGACGAUCAGUAGCCGGACUGAGAGGUUGAACGGCCACAUUGGGACUGAGAUACGGCCCAG
rnacentral:rRNA from 1 species